GGUAGCACAGUGGUUAAGUGCUUGGCUGCUAACUGAAAGGUUGGUGGUUCGAAUCCACCAGCCA
rnacentral:tRNA from 1 species